UUGUUCUCUCUGUGUCCCCCCCCCUCCAGUACGUCCAGAGGCGGACGCAGGAGAACACCCAGCGACAGAGCCGAGGGGAGCCCGCUCUGCCUGAGGAAGACAUGAGCAAAAUGUUCAAGCCUCCUCAGGCGCCACCACGCAUGGACACGCUGCUCAUUGCAGGGCAAAUUAACAACUACUGCCAGAACGUGAAGGAAUUCACCUCUCAGAACCUCGGGAAGCUGUUCAUGGCGGAGGCUCUCCAGGGACACAACUAGAGGAGAGAAACUGGGUGAAAGGAUCUGCGAUCGAGGGGAAGAGAAGGACGAGAGACGGGAUAAAGAAAGGAAACGGAGAGGCGUCUAGGCACCACCUAGAUGCCCAUUGGAAGAACACACCAUCUUUAUUAGUUUUCUAAGGAUUUACUCAUUGUUUUUAUGCCUGGUUCCAUCUUGGAUACAGAAUGAUCUUUGAAAAUCACUUCAUUUAAAUAAAAGUAUUGCAUCUCUA